rnacentral:rRNA from 1 species
UACGUAGGGUGCAAGCGUUGUCCGGAAUUAUUGGGCGUAAAGAGCUCGUAGGCGGUUCGUCGCGUCGGCUGUGAAAACCUGAGGCUCAACCUCAGGCCUGCAGUCGAUACGGGCGGACUUGAGUACUGCAGGGGAGACUGGAAUUCCUGGUGUAGCGGUGAAAUGCGUAGAUAUUGGUAGGAACACCAGUGGCGAAGGCGGUCUUCUGGAGCACUCUUGACGCUGAGGCGCGAAAGCUGGGGGAGCGAACGGG